rnacentral:lncRNA from 1 species
CAACAGAACCCUGGGUGCUACCUGGAUUUGGCUUGUUUUCAUGGAAUUUACUAUCAGUCUCAUUAUUAUGUGUUACUGUUCUAUAACUGUGUCAUUAAAUUUGUAUGUCCUCAGUUUAAAAUAAUUGCUGACUGAAUCUGUGCAUUUUCAUUCUUAGGAUGGAGAUGCAAUGCCAUGCACACACAAAUGUACAUGUUAGAGGGGGCCUCGAGGUGGAACAUGAGCCGGGCAAAAGAAGCUGUAUCUGUGGUGGGGGCCUCAACCCUCAGGACAUUUGAUGUCUGCACAAUGUCUCAUUUAAACAGCAUGAGCCAACGGGUCCUUGGUCGGGCUUUGAUGCCAGAAUUUACCCCUCCAGGAAAACCCACUGGGGAGCGCAUUGCAGUGGAGUACUUGUUGGCCCAGUCCAAUAGAGGCGACCAGUUGAUUGCACACCACAAUGACAUGCCUGAAGUCCCCCCAGAGGAGCCCGAAGAGGAUAGUGAAAUUGACACGACUCGUGUGCCAUUGCAGCUGACCUUAGGGCUGAUGACUCUGACCCUCCAGUAGCUGUCGUGCAGGCCCAGGUGACAAGUCAGGUGGGUGACACUGAACCCAAAUCCCCAGAUGAGGAGGUCACUGAGGAAGAGGAGGAUGACACUGCAAGGCCAUGCACACACAAAUGUACAUGUUAGAGGGGGCCUCGAGGUGGAACAUGAGCCGGGCAAAAGAAGCUGUAUCUGUGGUGGGGGCCUCAACCCUCAGGACAUUUGAUGUCUGCACAAUGUCUCAUUUAAACAGCAUGAGCCAACGGGUCCUUGGUCGGGCUUUGAUGCCAGAAUUUACCCCUCCAGGAAAACCCACUGGUAAGAUAUCUCACAAGGAAAUGCUGAGCAUUGGAGUAUUUCUCUCUCUCCUGUAUUUGUUUGUUUGUGUGAUUGUGUGUGUGUGUGUGUGUGUGUGUGUGUGUGUGUGUGUGUGUGUGUGUGUGUGAGUGUGUGUCGUCCUCCUACCUAUGGGGAGCGCAUUGCAGUGGAGUACUUGUUGGCCCAGUCCAAUAGAGGCGACCAGU